rnacentral:rRNA from 1 species
GGAUUGACAGGAAGUAUCGUCUUUUGAAAUCUUUAAGUACAUGUCGUUUCUAAUGACAUCUUUUAGAUGAAUGAUUCGUGUAAAUAUGCUAGUUCUUUCAUGAUUAUGUGAUAGGUGGUGCAUGGCCGUUCUUAGUUCGUGGAGUGAUCUGUCUGCUUAAUUGCGUUUCACUAUGGCCCCAAAGUUAGCAAGUUAUCCAAUCAUGACCUUCGUCGACCCCUCACCUUUGAGUGCGCGUCCUAGCUUAGAGUACAUGGUGUAAAUGGACUUGUUUUGGGUACCCAGAAAGCAACGAACGUGACCGCAACGUCUUGUUGUCUCUCUUUUGACAGUUAUGGGUUAUCCCAGUCAUGUGCUUAUACUUUUAUGUGUAAAUACGUACGACACAGAGACUAGAUACCAAACUAGGCGUACCGCUGUAUCAUUUCUUUAA